GAUGAACGCUGGCGGCGUGCCUAAUACAUGCAAGUCGAGCGAAUGGAUUGAGAGCUUGCUCUUAUGAAGUUAGCGGCGGACGGGUGAGUAACACGUGGGUAACCUGCCCAUAAGACGGGGAUAACUCCGGGAAACCGGGGCUAAUACCGGAUAACGUUUUGAACCGCAUGGUCCGAAAUUGAAAGGCGGCUUCGGCUGCCACUUAUGGAUGGACCCGCGUCGCAUUAGCUAGUUGGUGAGGUAAGGGCUCACCAAGGCAACGAUGCGUCGCCGACCUGAGAGGGUGUUCGGCCACGAUGGGACUGAGACACGGCCCAGAAUCCUACGGGAGGCAGCAGUAGGGAAUCUUCCGCAAUGGACGAAAGUCUGACGGAGCACCGCCGCGUGAGUGAUGAAGGCUUUCGGGUCGUAAAACUCUGUUGUUAGGGAAGAACAAGUGCUAGUUGAAUAAGCUGGCACCUUGACGGUACCUAACCAGAAAGCCACGGCUAACUACGUGCCAGCCGCCGCCGUAA
rnacentral:rRNA from 1 species